UGAUGCUUGAUAAACGACAUGGAAGCUUGGGAAAGAAGCGGGUCAAACGGGACUAAUGCGCACGAGAAGCAUAUUCGGGUGUUAGGUACUACACGGACUUUUUAUGUUACUAAGGGAGUGAAGCGGACGUAUGACAAGUCAAGAGCAAGGAUUGUACGGAAACAUCAGUCACAUAGUUGAAGUAUAUAAAGCCUAGAAGUUUUAAUUAAAGUACGAAUGUUGUGAAUUCUUUUAUAGAAUGCUUUGACAUUUUGAGAAUUUGAACCUUCAUGUAAGUAAUGUCGAUAAUAAGGAAAGAAAUUUUAAGGCUC